rnacentral:rRNA from 1 species
UACGUAGGGGGCUAGCGUUGUCCGGAUUUAUUGGGCGUAAAGAGCGUGUAGGCGGCCAGGUAGGUCUGGUGUGAAAACUCGAGGCUUAACCUCGAGAUGUCAUCGGAAACCAUCUGGCUAGAGUCCGGAAGAGGAGAGUGGAAUUCCUGGUGUAGCGGUGAAAUGCGCAGAUAUCAGGAAGAACACCAAUGGCGAAGGCGGCCUUCUGGACGGUGACUGACGCUGAGACGCGAAGGCGUGGGGAGCAAACAGG